rnacentral:lncRNA from 1 species
CGGGGGGUAGAGAGAGUUGCCGACAUCGGGGGAGGAGAUUGGAUUAUGGGAGUUGAUAUAGCUUCUGCUCGAGUGGAAGAAGUCGGAAGGAGCUUCUCUCUCUGUUUGGCUUUGGAGGGCCUUUGCUUCUUCUGGACCCCAGCAGCAGUUGAUGAGUGUGCAUUCUUCCUCCUCAGUGCCUCAAGCUCUUUGGGCCUCAUAUCUGCAACAAACUGAAACAAGCUAAGAAGAAAAG